rnacentral:lncRNA from 1 species
AGCUGAUCUAGACUUACUUUCAGAAGUCUGACAGUAAGCUCAAAUUCGGAUGGCAGCAUAUCGGCAAAGAGUAGCCCGGUAUUAUAAUGCAAAAGUUAAGCCAAAGAUCUUCCAUUCAGGAGAUUUGAUCCUAAGAAAAAUAGAAGUCUCGAGACCCCUAGAACAAAAAAAAUUAUCUCCAAAUUGAGAAGGACCUUAUAGAAUAAUCAAGACAC